UACGUAGGUGGCAAGCGUUGUCCGGAUUUACUGGGCGUAAAGGGCGUGCAGGCGGCUUGUUAAGUGCAGGGUGAAAGCUCCCGGCUCAACUGGGAGAGGUUCUUGCAUACUGGCGAGCUCGAGGGAGGCAGAGGAAAGUGGAAUUCCCGGUGUAGUGGUGAUAUGCGUAGAUAUCGGGAGGAACACCUGUGGCGAAGGCGGCUUUCUGGGCCUUACCUGACGCUGAGACGCCAAAGCGUGGGGAGCGAACCGG
rnacentral:rRNA from 1 species